rnacentral:rRNA from 1 species
GAUGAACGCUGGCGGCGUGCCUAAUACAUGCAAGUCGAGCGAACGGACGAGAAGCUUGCUUCUCUGAUGUUAGCGGCGGACGGGUGAGUAACACGUGGAUAACCUACCUAUAAGACUGGGAUAACUUCGGGAAACCGGAGCUAAUACCGGAUAAUAUUUUGAACCGCAUGGUUCAAAAGUGAAAGACGGUCUUGCUGUCACUUAUAGAUGGAUCCGCGCUGCAUUAGCUAGUUGGUAAGGUAACGGCUUACCAAGGCAACGAUGCAUAGCCGACCUGAGAGGGUGAUCGGCCACACUGGAGCUGAGACGCGGUCAAGACUCCUACGGGAGGCAGCAGUAGGGAAUCUUCCGCAAUGGGCGAAAGCCUGACGGAGCAACGCCGCGUGAGUGAUGAAGGUCUUCGGAUCGUAAAACUCUGUUAUUAGGGAAGAACAUAUGUGUAAGUAACUGUGCACAUCUUGACGGUACCUAAUCAGAAAGCCACGGCUAACUACGUG